CCUACGGGGCGCAGCAGUAGGGAAUCUUUCACAAUGGGCGAAAGCCUGAUGGAGCAACGCCGCGUGCAGGAUGAAGGCCUUCGGGUUGUAAACUGCUUUUAUAAGCGAGAAAUAUGAUGGUAACUUAUGAAUAAGGAUCGGCUAACUACGUGCCAGCAGCCGCGGUCAUACGUAGGAUCCGAGCAUUAUCCGGAGUGACUGGGUGUAAAGAGUUGCGUAGGUGGCAUAAUAAGUAGCUAGUGAAAUCUGGUGGCUCAACCAUUCAGACUAUUAGCUAAACUGUUAAGCUCGAGACCGUUAGGGGUAACUGGAAUUUCUAGUGUCGGAGUGAAAUCCGUAGAUAUUAGAAGGAACACCAAUAGCGUAGGCAGGUUGCUGGGACGGUUCUGACACUAAGGCACGAAAGCGUAGGGAGCAAACGGGAUUAGAUACCCUAGUAGUC
rnacentral:rRNA from 1 species